UUAAUAGCGAGGAAAGCUCGUUUAGUUUCGUGAUAGGAAAGCUAUAACGAAGAAGAUACAAAAGUUUAUUACACGAGAAGCAGAUAUUAUGAAUUAUCAUAUACUUAGACUAAAUAACAUAUGAAUUUUACCGUAUGAUAAUAGCAUUAAAUUAACGUAUAUUUCAUAUUUUUUCCAAUUAGUGCUUAGCGGGCUGAUAUGAAAAGUUUAUCACAUGCUUCGAUUGUUAUCACAUGCCUUUCCGUAACGUUAUCACAUGGCAUUCCGGUGAUACUCGGCAAAUUCUGGAAAAUACACCUCAAUACUACGUUUUCAGUGAAAAACAUUACAAAGUAGUGUAGAAAACAAUUAUUACUGGAAAAUAUAUUGUGUAAAAUAAUAUAAAAAGUAAAAAAAAAAAAAAAA
rnacentral:lncRNA from 1 species